GACGAACGCUGGCGGCGUGCUUAACACAUGCAAGUCGAACGGAAAGGCCCUGCUUUUGUGGGGUGCUCGAGUGGCGAACGGGUGAGUAACACGUGAGUAACCUGCCCUUGACUUUGGGAUAACUUCAGGAAACUGGGGCUAAUACCGGAUAGGAGCUCCUGCUGCAUGGUGGGGGUUGGAAAGUUUCGGCGGUUGGGGAUGGACUCGCGGCUUAUCAGCUUGUUGGUGGGGUAGUGGCUUACCAAGGCUUUGACGGGUAGCCGGCCUGAGAGGGUGACCGGCCACAUUGGGACUGAGAUACGGCCCAGACUCCUACGGGAGGCAGCAGUGGGGAAUAUUGCACAAUGGGCGGAAGCCUGAUGCAGCAACGCCGCGUGCGGGAUGACGGCCUUCGGGUUGUAAACCGCUUUCGCCUGUGACGAAGCGUGAGUGACGGUAAUGGGUAAAGAAACACCGGCUACUACGUG
rnacentral:rRNA from 1 species